rnacentral:rRNA from 1 species
UGGGGAAUCUUGCACAAUGGGGGAAACCCUGAUGCAGCGACGCCGCGUGAACGAUGAAGCCCUUCGGGGUGUAAAGUUCUUUCGACAGGAACGAUAAUGACGGUACCUGGAGAAGAAGCUGCGGCUAACUACGUGCCAGCAGCCGCGGUAAUACGUAGGCAGCGAGCGUUGUUCGGAGUUACUGGGCGUAAAGAGUGCGUAGGCGGCGAGCCAAGUUUGGCGUGAAAUCUCCCGGCUUAACCGGGAGGGUGCGCCGAAAACUGGUUGGCUGGAGUAUGGGAGAGGAAAGCGGAAUUCCUGGUGUAGCGGUGAAAUGCGUAGAUAUCAGGAGGAACACCUGCGGUGUAGACAGCUUUCUGGACCAAAACUGACGCUGAGGCACGAAAGCGUGGGUAGCAAACA